CUGCAUUGACUUUGCAUUUGCUCUUUGAUUCUUAUAUCUGGGAUCUUUCUUUUCUGCUCACUUAUAUACAGGUGGGGGGAGGUGAAGGGGGUAUAUUUGGGGUGACUAUGUAGCAUUUCUGUGUUAAAAGCGAGGGCAGGAGUUGCCAAGAGCAGCCCAGUCUUCUGCAUGGAGGGACCAGAGGUCCAGCCCUGAGAAUGCUUUCCCACCCUACCCUGUGCUCAAUACCACAUGACCUCAAGCUUCGCCCAGAAGGCCCUAGGUCCCUGCUGCUCUGGCCUUCCGUUCCCACUGGGUUCUCUUGCUGCUUGACCCCUGUAAGCUCUUGUGUCCACGUCUGUGGCUGGAUGUGUCUCCACCCCAUGCCCGAGGGGCCCUGAUGCUGUAUGUUCAUACCCUUUCCCUU